AUACGGAGGAUCCGAGCGUUAUCCGGAUUUAUUGGGUUUAAAGGGAGCGUAGGUGGAUUGUUAAGUCAGUUGUGAAAGUUUGCGGCCCAACCGUAAAAUUGCAGUUGAAACUGGCAGUCUUGAGUACAGUAGAGGUGGGCGGAAUUCGUGGUGUAGCGGUGAAAUGCUUAGAUAUCACGAAGAACUCCGAUUGCGAAGGCAGCUCACUAGACUGUUACUGACACUGAUGCUCGAAAGUGUGGGUAUCAAACAGGAUUAGAUACCCUGGUAGUCCACACAGUAAACGAUGAAUACUCGCUGUUUGCGAUAUACAGUAAGCGGCCAAGCGAAAGCAUUAAGUAUUCCACCUGGGGAGUACGCCGGCAACGGUGAAACUCAAAUGAAUUGACGGGG
rnacentral:rRNA from 1 species